GAUGAACGCUGGCGGCGUGCUUAACACAUGCAAGUCGAACGGAAAGGCUCCUGCUUGCAGGGGUACUCGAGUGGCGAACGGGUGAGUAACACGUGGGUGAUCUGCCCUGCACUUCGGGAUAAGCCUGGGAAACUGGGUCUAAUACCGGAUAGGACCACAUUUUGGAUGGUGUGGUGGAAAGUUUUUCGGUGUGGGAUGAGCUUGCGGCCUAUCAGCUUGUUGGUGGGGUAAUGGCCUACCAAGGCGUCGACGGGUAGCCGGCCUGGGAGGGGGUACGGCCACAUUGGGACUGGGAUACGGCCCAGACUCCUACGGGAGGCAGCAGGGGGGAAUAUGGCACAAUGGGGGCAAGCCUGAUGCGGCGACGCCGCGUGGGGAAUGACGGCCUUCGGGUUUUAAACUCCUUUCGCUAGGGACGAGGCGCGAGUGACGGUACCUGGAGAAGAAGCACCGGCUAACUACGUG
rnacentral:rRNA from 1 species